GACGAACGCUGGCGGCGUGCUUAACACAUGCAAGUCGAACGGAAAGGCCCUGCUUUUGUGGGGUGCUCGAGUGGCGAACGGGUGAGUAACACGUGAGUAACCUGCCCUUGACUUUGGGAUAACUUCAGGAAACUGGGGCUAAUACCGGAUAGGAGCUCCUGCUGCAUGGUGGGGGUUGGAAAGUUUCGGCGGUUGGGGAUGGACUCGCGGCUUAUCAGCUUGUUGGUGGGGUAGUGGCUUACCAAGGCUUUGACGGGUAGCCGGCCUGAGAGGGUGACCGGCCACAUUGGGACUGAGAUACGGCCCAGACUCCUACGGGAGGCAGCCGUGGGGAAUAUUGCACAAUGGGCGGAAGCCUGCUGCAGCAACGCCGCCUGCGGGAUGACGGCCUUCGGGUUGUAAACCGCUUUCGCCUGUGACGAAGCGUGAGUGACGGUAAUGGGUACAGAAGCACCGGCUAACUACGUG
rnacentral:rRNA from 1 species